AGCGAACGCUGGCGGCAGGCCUAACACAUGCAAGUCGAACGAACCUUUCGGGGUUAGUGGCGGACGGGUGAGUAACACGUGGGAACGUUCCUUUAUGUUCGGCAUAACUCAGGGAAACUUGUGCUAAUACCGAAUGUGCCCUUCGGGGGAAAGAUUUAUCGCCUUUAGAGCGGCCCGCGUCGGAUUAGCUAGUUGUUUGAGGUAAUGGCUCACCAAGGCGACGAUCAGUAGCUGGUCUGAGAGGAUGAUCAGCCACAUUGGGACUGAGACACGGCUCAAACUCCUACGGGAGGCAGCAGUGGGGAAUCUUGCGAAAUGGGCGAAAGCCUGACGCAGCCAUGACGCGUGAAUGAUGAAGGUCUUAGGAUUGUAAAAUUCUUUCACCGGGGACGAUAAUGACGGUACCCGGAGAAGAAGCCCCGGCUAACUUCGUG
rnacentral:rRNA from 1 species